rnacentral:tRNA from 1 species
GGAAGUAUAGCUCAGUGGUAGAGCACAUGCUUAGCAUGCACAAAGUCCUGGGUUCAAUCCCCAAUACCUCCA